GUAAAAUGUUCUGUCCAUCUUCUUAGUAUUAUAUUUUAAUAAGUUUGUUAAAAAACUGCCAAGCAAAUAUUUUUUUGGUACAAAAUUCAUUUCUGAAAUUCUUAUUUAUAUUUUAGGACAAAUGAGACACACGUUCUAGAAGGAGAAGCACAACAAGGUUCAACAACUGGGGAAGGUCGAUUUCUAGUACAUUUCUUAAAUCCAGACGUAACUGUACCUUUCUAUGUUCUUGGUACA
rnacentral:lncRNA from 1 species